AUCUGUUCAUCAUCUGUGUUACCUCCAUGCAUCUUCUCCAUCUUCUCGCAUCUAAUUUUUCGAUGCGUAUCCUGACUGUCACUAGUGCAUCUUUCUGUUGUCGCAUCACCGAAACAACAAAAUGUUUCUCAUUCGUUCAUACAAGUGCCUUUGAAUGGGAAAAAUACUGAAUUUAUGAGAAUUUAUUGUUGUUAGUUUCCUCGUGAAUCGUUAAUUGCAAACGGUCCCAGACAGGUUGUAUCCGAGGCAACCAAUAAUUUGGAGGAGUACCGAAUGCACUAGACACUCGAUUACAGAGCCUUCACUGGAUUACAGACAAAACCAGAAUAUGAGACGGAAUUUUCAAAAGAGCAAAGGAAGAGUAAAAACAUUCCUCCAGGAUUCAUAGACAGGCAAAUGGCUGUUAUCAUCAGUGACAUGAAUGUUCCUGAAUUAUCACCCUCAUUCUUGUUUACAGCGUAUCCAACUUUCGAUCGAAUCCAAUUCGUUCGAAUCCACGGCCCACUUGAUUUUGCUGGCGUAAACGAGAAUGCAAAACGGUUUUCGAUCGAAAGAGCAUUAGAACGUAAACAAGAAUAGGGGUGUAUAUUUGAAACAUCGAUUCCCACAAGACUAUUUUCUAUCGAUUGGAAAUGCAGCAAACAAAUGGAACAAAUAAAUGUGUAUAAAAUUUAA